UACGAAGGGGGCUAGCGUUGCUCGGAAUGACUGGGCGUAAAGGGCGCGUAGGCGGUUUGUACAGUCAGGUGUGAAAUUCCCGGGCUCAACCUGGGGGCUGCACUUGAUACGUAUGGACUGGAGUGGGGAAGAGGGUCGUGGAAUUCCCAGUGUAGAGGUGAAAUUCGUAGAUAUUGGGAAGAACACCGGUGGCGAAGGCGGCGACCUGGUCCUUGACUGACGCUGAGGCGCGAAAAGCGUGGGGAGCAAACAGG
rnacentral:rRNA from 1 species